rnacentral:rRNA from 1 species
UCACAUGCAAGUCGAGCGGUAACAGAGAGAAGCUUGCUUCUCUGCUGACGAGCGGCGGACGGGUGAGUAAUACUUGGGAAUUUGCCUUUAGGCGGGGGACAACCACUGGAAACGGUGGCUAAUACCGCAUAAUGUCUACGGACCAAAGUGGGGGACCUUCGGGCCUCACACCUAAAGAUGAGCCCAAGCGGGAUUAGCUAGUUGGUAAGGUAACGGCUUACCAAGGCGACGAUCUCUAGCUGUUCUGAGAGGAAGAUCAGCCACACUGGGACUGAGACACGGCCCAGACUCCUACGGGAGGCAGCAGUGGGGAAUAUUGCACAAUGGGGGAAACCCUGAUGCAGCCAUGCCGCGUGUGUGGAGAAGGCCUUCGGGUUGUAAAGCACUUUCAGUUGUGAGGAAAAGUUAGUAGUUAAUACCUGCUAGCCGUGACGUUAAUAACAGAAGAAGCACCGGCUAACUCCGUGCCAGCAGCCGCGGUAAUACGGAGGGUGCGAGC